rnacentral:lncRNA from 1 species
AAGCUGGGAAAUGUGGCUCUCAUAUGACAACAUGAAAAAUUCUCAAAGGAAUGUUGAAUAUUUACUUUAACGAUAAGAACUUGAUUAGAAGAAAGAGGCAAUUAAGAAAUACUGUUCUCUUUGAACAAACCAUCUCAACAAGUCUCUGGGAAGUUACAAACCUUUCCACUUCUUCCUGGUUGGAGCACUCACAAAAAGUCCUUACUGUUGCACUGCCCUCAUAGGGUGGUGAUAAGAGGGCCACUGUCCUCCAGACCCCAGAAUGGUAGAUCCACUAACAGUUUGUACCAUGCACCUGGAAAAGCCACAGGCACUCAAUGCCAGCCCUAGACAGCAGCUGAGGAGGCUCUACGCUGCGGAGCUAUUAUACCAGAGCUGCUCAAGACCUUGGGGGCCCAUCCCUUGCAUCAGUCUGACCUGGAUGUGAGACAUAGAGUCAAAGGAGAAUGCCAUAUGACUCAGAGUAUGUAAUAAAAUCUGUUUUUGAGAUUAAAUUUCCAACUUUCUAAAUAUACUGUACUGUAACAUACAUGAAUAUGCUCAAACAAUAGAUA